UAUCAUUAUUUUCAAAGUAGUUACUCAGAGUACAAGACAUAGACAUAAAAGAUUCUCUUACAAAAAAGAAACAAACAAAUAAUAGUACAAAACUUUCUUUUCAAUGACCUAAGAGAAACUAGUGAUAUAUUACCUUCUUGUAACCUUUUUCAGAAAGCUACUGAACUAUAUGUUCUACCAAGAUGAGGAAGAAAAACAAACAUGAAGUUCAGGACACAGGUGACUCACAAGAAGUGAAGAAAACUCCCAGGCGAUGAUGAGGGGAAAUCCCAAAACUACAGCUGUCCUGUUGGUUUAGUUGGCAACAUUUAAGAUUUGGAUGGGAAGGAUAUUUCCAAGAAAACCAAAAUAGAUGUUAUUAACUGAUAGUUUAAAUGGUGGGAGAUAAAUAAUCAUGGUAGAGCCUUUGGGGCAAAAAUUAAUGAUGUAUUCAUCAUAGAAAGGUUAACAAACAAAAAAAUCGAGACAAUAAUUAACCAUAAAGAAAAGAAAAAGAUCUGACAAGGGAGGAAAUCUAAUCACAGUAUAUUACACAGAGACCCACCAUGAGACGUAUUUUCAAACUCAUAAUCAUAUAAAUUAAAAAUUGACUUAAGCCCCAGUUGUACCGGCAUUUUGGGGAGAAUUGGGGGAGGAUGAGUGUGUGUGUGGAGAGAAGAGGACAGAGUUGGUGAGAGACCAAUAAGAGGAUACCACACUUAGUGGGAAAGACUCGCCUCCCCUCCAAUAAGAUUGGCUUAUCAGCGCUGAAAUGGGGGCCAAGUGUUUCUCUAAGCCUGGGUGAUCAGGACACAUCAAUCUGGGAUCAAUCUUAUUUGACAACCUGGGGAAAAUC
rnacentral:lncRNA from 1 species